GAAUGUCCUCCUCCUGCCGCGCCAGGCGCGACGCCACGGCAUCCGCCGCCAGGGCCUCGGCCGCCAUGGCGUCCGCCUCGCCUCACACAGGAGUGCAACCAGAUCCUCUCCCGGGAUGGCUCUUUGGAGAGAGUGGACUCUUUUUUCUUGAAGCUGUGCUCCAAAGGGCCAAAGGCUUUCUGUGCUUUUUGCUCUCAUCUGGAGGAAUUCUGCCCUUACCUGCUCACCUGCUUUUUUCUUUACCUUCAAGAGCAGACCUGCAGGAUCCUGCAAGAUGUAGCUGCUGCAGAGGAAAAAGCAAGGGUUGGAACUCAGCCUGAACCUAGCAGUGUCCUUGAGACUGAGGAUCGAGAAAGUCUUCAAUUAUUUAACAAGUUACGUAUGUUAUGGGCUACAAUGAAACUUGGACUGUGCUCAGCCUUCACGGCUGUUUCUUGCAGAUACACGCGCUGAUGGGAAGGAUUUGAAUAAACCAAGAACUGAAAGCAGCUGUCAAAAUGGUUUCUACUCCAGUCAAAAUCCUUCCCCCUCCAAAAGGCAUGAAAAAUGUAAACCAUCCGUUUUCUUUAAUUUGCUUAUGGCUUGCUUAUAAAUAGCUACAUUGUGUUAAUUAGUAAGCAUUGUGGAAAAAGUGCACAGGCCAACAUUUAAUGUAUUUAAUUAGCGUAUGUAAUCGAUUUUUCCAUUCAUAGGGCUUAUUAACUUAAAUAUGUACUUGGGGCCUCAUUAUCAUAGUCUAUUCACUUGGAAAGUAUACAUCCUGCUUUUGAUCCUUUUUCUGGCUGCAUGGAGAACCCAUUUAGUCUUGGGGCAAAGCUCUCAGGGGCCCCUGAGGCUGACCUGGGUGGGCUUGGGUUCCCUGUGUGAGCGCUUCUCCUGCAGAUGAGCCCCCUCUGUGGAGAGCGCAGUGUCCUCCCAGCUGUGUCCAGCAGGCCCAAGGCCGGCCCCCAGGCAUCCCAGCCCUUCCCAGAACAGGACCCAGGGUGACAGGUGCCUGCACCUUUUGUCAAAGAGGUGAUUUUUGUUUCUUUCCCCAUCUACUUCUUGUUUUCAGUAGGGAGAAAGGAUACACGCGCACGCGCGCACACACACACACACACACCCCUACGGAGAAAGAGAGAUACACACACA